rnacentral:rRNA from 1 species
AGAGUUUGAUCAUGGCUCAGAAUCAACGCUGGCGGCGCGCCUAACACAUGCAAGUCGAACGAGAAAGCAGGAGCAAUCUUGUGAGUAAAGUGGCGUACGGGUGAGUAACACGUGGAUUAUCUACCCUCUAGUGGGGGAUAACCCUGGGAAACCGGGGCUAAUACCGCAUAAGCUCGAGAGAGGAAAACAGCAAUGUGCUGGAGGAGGAGUCCGCGGCCGAUUAGCUAGUUGGUAGGGUAAAAGCCUACCAAGGCUACGAUCGGUAGCCGGCCUGAGAGGGCACACGGCCACACUGGCACUGAAACACGGGCCAGACUCCUACGGGAGGCAGCAGUGGGGAAUCUUGCACAAUGGGGGCAACCCUGAUGCAGCGACGCCGCGUGAGCGAUGAAGCCCUUCGGGGUGUAAAGCUCUUUCGGCAGGGAAGAUUAUGACGGUACCUGCAGAAGCAGCUGCGGCUAACUACGUGCCAGCAGCCGCGGUAAUACGUAGGCAGCAAGCGUUGUUCGGAGUUACUGGGCGUAAAGGGUGUGUAGGCGGUUCUCUAAGUCUGGUGUGAAAUCUCCCGGCUCAACUGGGAGGGUGCGCCGAAAACUGGAGGACUAGAGUGCGGGAUGGGAGAGUGGAAUUCCUGGUGUAGCGGUGAAAUGCGUAGAUAUCAGGAGGAACACCUGUGGUGUAGACGGCUCUCUGGACCGCAACUGACGCUGAGACACGAAAGCGUGGGUAGCAAACAGGAUUAGAUACCCUGGUAGUCCACGCCCUAAACGAUGCAUAUUUGGUGUGGGCCAUUCAUUUGGUCUGUGCCGGAGCUAACGCGUUAAAUAUGCCGCCUGGGGAGUACGGUCGCAAGGCUGAAACUCAAGGAAUUGACGG